UACGUAGGGGGCAAGCGUUGUCCGGAUUCAUUGGGCGUAAAGAGCGUGUAGGCGGCCAGGUAGGUCGGUUGUGAAAACUGGAGGCUCAACCUUCAGAGGUCGACCGAAACCAUCUGGCUAGAGUCCGGGAGAGGAGAGUGGAAUUCCUGGUGUAGCGGUGAAAUGCGCAGAUAUCAGGAAGAACACCCGUGGCGAAAGCGGCUCUCUGGACCGAUACUGACGCUGAGGCGCGAAAGCGUGGGGAGCAAACAGG
rnacentral:rRNA from 1 species